rnacentral:misc_RNA from 1 species
GAAGUUGCGGUGUGUCAGUAUGACUCCUUUGCUGGCGCCGGUCGUGCCGGAUGAGUAUAAAAGAGCGGCGGUGUCGGAUUGGAGAAUUGUCGGAGGUGUGAACGGAGUGGGAUCCGUGAUGAGAUGUGAGAAAUAUGUGAUUGAAGUUUCAGCGGAGACAUCGACGGAGACGGAGACAUCGUCGAGGAUGACGACGGGGAGGCGGAGGGGGGCGAUCUUGGGGAAGAGUGCUGAGGUGGUGAUUACGAGGCAUGGUUUGGAAUCUUUGGCUUGUUUUGAGAUUUCGUGCACGGUGUAGAGGGGGUUGACGGUGGUGGCGACUGCGCCAAGGGAGAGGACGGCGAGGAAGGAGACGGGGAGGCGGAGGGAGUUGGGGGCGAAGAGGAGGACAACGUCGUGUUGUUUGACGCCUAGGCGGCGGAGGCCGGAGGCGGCGUCGGAGACGAGGGAUUGGAGCUCGGAGAAGGAGAGGCGGGCGUCGCUGUCGGCGUCGGCGAGGGCGAGGCGGGAAGGGAAGGCGGCAGCGUGGCGGAAGAGGAAGGGGACGGCGGAGAGAUGGGGGUCGGCGGGAAAGGGAAUUGAGGGACGGGGGGAGCGGUAGAUGAAGUCGGAGGUGGAGAAGAAGGAUGACGUCAUCGAUGGAG